rnacentral:lncRNA from 1 species
UGGAAACUUGACUCGGCACUUGGUAUAACAUUAUGUCUUGAGUUCAAUAAGCCAAAAGGUGAGAUAAGAGGUAAGGAACAUUUUGUAUUUCCUCUUUUUUCAUUCCUUUCUUUACAAGUAGGAUUGAUUGUGUUACCUUUUACUGUCCCAACAAAAAAAAUCAUGCUACUCGGGUCUUUUACUUUCUGGCUUCAUCACUUGCAAUAGGUACGUAGUCGUUUUGCGGUAACUUUUAGUUUAGGGCUUGAAACUAUAAGCUCGAGUGAUUUGUUUCAUACCAAAUUUCCCUUUUCUACUUGCAAUAGAGUUGGCCUUCAGUUUCUAUAUAGAUGA